rnacentral:rRNA from 1 species
GAUGAACGCUGGCGGCGUGCCUAAUACAUGCAAGUCGAGCGAACAGACGAGGAGCUUGCUCCUCUGACGUUAGCGGCGGACGGGUGAGUAACACGUGGAUAACCUACCUUUAAGACUGGGAUAACUUCGGGAAACGGGAGCCAAUACCGGAUAAUAUAUUGAACCGCAUGGUUCAAUAGUGAAUGACGAUUUUGCUGUCACUUAUAGAUGGAUCCGCGCCGCAUUAGCUAGUUGGUAAGGUAACGGCUUACCAAGGCAACGAUGCGUAGCCGACCGGAGAGUGUGAUCGUCCACACUGGAACUGAGACACGGUCCAGACUCCUACGGGAGGCAGCAGUAGGGAAUCUUCCGCAAUGGCCGAGAGCUUGACGGAGCAACGCCGCGUGAGUGAGGAAGGUCUUCGGAUCGUAAAACUCUGCUAUUAGGGAAGACCAAAUGUGUAAGUAACUAUGCACGUCUUGACGGUACCUAAUCAGAAAGCCACGGCUAACUACGUG